rnacentral:tRNA from 1 species
GCCGGUUUGGCUCAGUAGAUAGAGCAUUGAGCUGUGGACUGAAGGGUCCUGGUUCUAAUCCAGCCAAGGGCA